GGCAGAAAAAGGCAAACCUGCAGCGAUGCAGGGGCGCAAAGCCCAAGGGUCUGCUCAGAAGGCAGACAGCCGGGUUGCCUGC
rnacentral:ncRNA from 3 species